CCUGCCUGGCCUCGCUCUCUCCCUCUUGCCCACCUGGCUCUCUCGGAGCCGCCAUCUUGGUCCAGGUGUCAGGUGCUGGGGGGGGAGGGAGGGCGGGGAGAGAGCAG
rnacentral:miRNA from 1 species